CGCCCGCCGCGCGCGGCGGGCGGGGCGGGGGCAUAUCAAUUAGCGGAGGAAAAUAAACUUACAAGGAUUCCCCUAGUAACGGCGAGCGAACCGGGAAUAGCCCAGCUUGAGAAUCGGGAGGAUUAAACCCCAUCCGAAUUGUAGUCUGGAGAGGCAUCCUCAGAGACGGACUGGACNUUUCUUACCCUGGANNGNGACGCCUGGGAGNGUGAGAGCCUCCGUCNUGCCCAGAACAAGUCUCCCCNCGAGNUUAC
rnacentral:rRNA from 1 species